rnacentral:rRNA from 1 species
AUUGAACGCUGGCGGCAGGCCUAACACAUGCAAGUCGAGCGGAUGACGGGAGCUUGCUCCUUGAUUCAGCGGCGGACGGGUGAGUAAUACCUAGGAAUCUGCCUGAUAGUGGGGGACAACGUUUCGAAAGGAACGCUAAUACCGCAUACGUCCUACGGGAGAAAGCAGGGGACCUUCGGGCCUUGCGCUAUCAGAUGAGCCUAGGUCGGAUUAGCUAGUUGGUGAGGUAAUGGCUCACCAAGGCGACGAUCCGUAACUGGUCUGAGAGGAUGAUCAGUCACACUGGAACUGAGACACGGUCCAGACUCCUACGGGAGGCAGCAGUGGGGAAUAUUGGACAAUGGACGAAAGCCUGAUCCAGCCAUGCCGCGUGUGUGAAGAAGGUCUUCGGAUUGUAAAGCACUUUAAGUUGGGAGGAAGGGCAGUAAGCUAAUACCUUGCUGUUUUGACGUUACCGACAGAAUAAGCACCGGCUAACUCUGUGCCAGCAGCCGCCGUAAGAC